rnacentral:rRNA from 1 species
GUGGGGAAUAUUGCGCAAUGGGGGAAACCCUGACGCAGCGACGCCGCGUGAGUGACGAAGGCCUUCGGGUUGUAAAGCUCUGUCAUACGGGAAGAAUAAGGGCAGUGAGAAUAUUGCUGUCCGAUGACGGUACCGUAGAAGGAAGCACCGGCUAACUCCGUGCCAGCAGCCGCGGUAAUACGGAGGGUGCAAGCGUUGUUCGGAAUUACUGGGCGUAAAGGGCGUGUAGGCUGACAUGCAGGUCAGAUGUGAAAUCCCCUGGCUUAACUAGGGAAGUGCAUCUGAAACCGCAUGUCUUGAGUACGACAGAGGUGAGUGGAAUUCCCAGUGUAGAGGUGAAAUUCAUAGAUAUUGGGAAGAACACCAGUGGCGAAGGCGGCUCUCUGGGUCGAUACUGACGCUGAGACGCGAAAGCGUGGGGAGCAAACAGGAUUAGAAACCCCUGUAGUCC